rnacentral:snRNA from 1 species
AUGUUGCCUGAGACAUCACAUAUACUAAAAUUGGUUUGAUACAGAGAAGAUUAGCAUGAUCCCUGGGUA